rnacentral:rRNA from 1 species
AUGGAGUCUCUGAAGCUGGAUGCCAAAACUCUGCAGCGACAAAGAGAAGAAAACCGCAAGGAAUUCUCGGAUUUCUCCAAGCAAGUUAGCACCAACUUCAUGGUCAUGCAAGGUUACUUCACAAACAUGCAAGCUAGCCGCCUGGAUAAGCUCAUCUCUGCAAUAGUUACUGAGCCAAGAAAGCUCAUCUCUGCAAUAGUUACUGAGCCAAGAACAGAUGAGGGGCAAACUCCUCCUCCUGGAAGUAUCCGGUUUGGGGAUUUACCUACAACACCUACUCAGGGUGCAGUGAACAAAGAAGUGCCUAAUUCAUCCCCAGGGCAGGGCAAUGUCAACAUUGCAGAGAAACCAGAUCUCGCCUAG